rnacentral:rRNA from 1 species
CCUACGGGUGGCAGCAGUGAGGAAUAUUGGUCAAUGGGCGCGAGCCUGAACCAGCCAAGUAGCGUGAAGGAUGACUGCCCUACGGGUUGUAAACUUCUUUUAUAAAGGAAUAAAGUGAGGCACGUGUGCCUUUUUGUAUGUAAUUUAUGAAUAAGGAUCGGCUAACUCCGUGCCAGCAGCCGCGGUAAUACGGAGGAUCCGAGCGUUAUCCGGAUUGAUUGGGUUUAAAGGGAGCGUAGAUGGGUUGUUAAGUCCGUUGUGUAAGUUUGCGGCUCAACCGUAAAAUUGCAUUUGAUACUGGCAGCCUUGAUUACCGUUGCGGUAGGCGGACUUCGUGGUGUAGCGGUGAAAUGCUUAGAUAUCACGAAGAACUCCGAUUGCGAAGGCAGCUUACUAACCUGCCACUGACAUUGAUGCUCGCACGUGUGGGUAUCAAACAGGAUUAGAUACCCUUGUAGUC